GUGCUCGCUUUGGCAGCACAUAUACUAAAAUUGGAACGAUACAGAGAAGAUUAGCAUGUCCCCUGCGCAAGGAUGACACGCAAAUUCGUGAAACGUUCUAUAUUUAA
rnacentral:snRNA from 1 species